rnacentral:lncRNA from 1 species
GCAAACAAAUAAUAUUGGCUCACAAAAAUAAUCUUCAAAAUAAGAAGACAAGCAAUUUAAUAUAUCAAAACUAAAGAGUUAUGUAGACAUAAGUAAAGGUUAGUCGACAUAUCAAAAUAAUAUCAUCAAAAUCAUAGAAGGGAAGACUAAAGAACGUUAGGCUCCUAUUUAUAAGAAUCCGAGUAUCGCGAUGAUCCUAAUUGUUGUUGGCCUAAUAUUUUAGGCCAAUAAUAAGUUCCAAAAUAGAAACUCCAACUCUCCAAUUGUACAUGAAAUAUAAGAAAACGAAAAGAAUUAGCAAGUGGACUCUAUAUUUAUCACAAUACAUAAUAUUAUGUAGUCACGUGCAUAUGAAUAUGUUUUUAUAAUAUAAUGGAAGGUUUAAUGUAUCUGCAACCAUUUCUGAAGCAUAGGAGCAUAUGUUUAUUCUUUUAAGUCUAAUAAAACAAGCAAACAGUACUAUAUCUGGUUCCUAAAGAAAGAAUACAUGUUUAAUCCUAUGCCCCACAAGAUAUGCAAAGAUAACCAACAAAUAACAAGAUAAAAUACGAAGUGGGGGUCCAAUACUUAGAGUGGAAUCAAGAUGAAAUAAAUACAUGGGACAAGGGCUAAGUUCACAGAAUCAUGUAUGACGCCAAAACGACAAAUAUCUUAGACUAUUGACAGAUGGAUUAAUGAGACUAUCAAUUGAUAGACUAAGUUCGGCUACAUCAGAUGCAAAGCAUUAUGCUUUAACAGAGGAUUCUUCUAGUCACAACAGAGAGAGGAAAAAGAUUUAAAAGUUUCUAAAGUUAACCAUAUAGACAAAUUUCAAGAUAGGUUAGGAUUUCAAAAGCAACAAAUAUCAAAAGAAAGUAUGUAUGCUAGUACGUAGACCAUGGUUUGUCAACAUAGUGAAUAAAUCUUGCUUGACACAAACUAUGAAAUCUUAACAAAACAAGUUCGAAGCCAAACAUACUCUUACUCUUAGAUUAAUUUAGAUAAGGUUGAUAAGGAAACUUUAAGACAUAAUUUGUACAACAAGUAUUAAGGGGAUGCAUGAUUAAGUCGUUGGGGGUAUUUUGAGCAUACUUUUGAAAGAAAAUAGAGAUUAAAAAUAUAAUUGAUUAUAUCUUGAUGCUAAAAAUAGAUGUUAACUCUUAUUACAAAAACCAAUUUUUGAUUACACAAGAUCAUAACAUAGCGAAUUUUGCACACUAUAACGAAAUUCGAACUUAUUAGUCUAACAGGAGUAAUACUAACUAAAGGGUAGAACACAUUGUUCGUAACAACUCAUUCAUUGAAGCAUGUUGGUAAAACAGGAAAUAAUGUUUAAAGGAUAGCCACUGGGACAUUAAGACCACAUACGAAUUAAUGCAUGCAGGUGGUAGUUUCAUGGAAGAAAUUACAAAGUAAAGAAGAAACUCACAUAAACUGCCAAACUAGAGAAAUAAAAAAAAAGGAAAUAUCUAGUCAAAUGUCCAUUAAUAACCAUGAGGUCCUCCUACAUGCAUAUGUCUUUAAAACAUACACACACACAAAAUCUGCUCAUCAUGAGUAUAUAUUCUAGCUCAUAUCGAUCAUUCUACGUACUAAAAUUCGAUAAUCACACGUAGAGCGAGGUAUAAUUUCAGCCGAGUUAUAAUCCCAAAAGAACAGACACAAAAUAAAACUUGAGAGGGAAUUACAGACGUUCAAACAUUCUUAUGUUCGUUUUUAUGAAUCGUAACUAAAUAAAGAAUGCGAGCAAUGGCCUUAUUAACAAGGUUAUAAAGCAAAAGUAAAAGAAAAUGUUACCGGAGAAGAUGAAAUACGAGAGAGGGAAUAGACCAAGAUUGAUUAUAUUCUAGUUAGUUCGAUCUGCCUCAAGUUAAUAGGUAAAUGCCUAUUUAGCUUCCUUGAUUUUACGUGAACAUAGGCAAAUUUAUUAUGAGUCAACACUUUUGAAAGGAGAAGAAAAAGAUGCAGUUGUCCAAUUCUUCAUAUUAAAAAGCUAUCCUAAUUGAAUACUUCCACACUACCAUCCAUCAAAGAAACAACAUAAGAUAGGAAAUUAAUUCCAUAUUGGAAAAUUGAGCCAGUAGAUCUUAAGAGUUAAAAAAAUGGCUCACUCGUACUUAGAAAAUGAUUAUUUAGACAAAGCUUGGUUAUACUUGAAUAAACAAAAUUUAGAAUCGAGUCUCCUCGAACAUUAAAUGAAAUCUGACUUGCGAAACAACAAGAUGACUUAUAAAAAAUCUAAGGCGCAACACAUCUGUCCAAACACGGAUAUCACUUAGCAGCGGAGAGCAACAUAAAUCAAGCUAGCUAAACAUUUCACAAAAUUCAUAUAUAGAACUCAGAAUCAGUAACAUAGACAGGUGUUGUGUUUUCUAAGCCGAUUUCAAUUCGAAUUUACAUUGAUUUACAACACGAAAAAAUGUGGAUUUCUAUGGCUUAACAAGCAUCAAAGUUAUAGCUUCCUGGAGAUAAAAAUGACUCUAAAGAGGAACAAAACGAGCAGCCCUGAAUUGAUUAAAUCUUUCAGCACAUUCAACUAAAGUUUAUACCACAUUAGAUAGAUGCAAAAUAAGAAAGAUCCACUUUUAAGCUCAAAAAAAUCUUUAAAAAAAAACUUCAUCAGCUAUAAGUUCGAGAUGAUCGCAAGUCUUAAGUUUUGAAACUUAGGCUAACACAACAUAAGAUUUUAAACGAAGAAAAACAAGAUGAGAUCAAGACGUCAAGAGAUUAAA